UUCGAAAGAGAAACUCCAAAGAAGACAAUAUCUGCUAGCGGUGGACUUGAGCUAUUAUAGUUUGUCUGUGGUGUCGUACAUUAACUGUUAUGCUAGUUAGAGCCUUGUUGUGAUAUCCAUCCAGACACUCACAGUGUUUGCUGUCAACAACAGCUAAUUGAAAACAACAAGAAAUGUGUUCACGGAGUCAAAAUAUAUCUUCAAUUCAAGUAAGAGAAAGAGAAGAAAAACAGAGGUGGGACAGAGACCUGGCGGUGGUGGUAGUGUCAAUGCCAAUGCAUUGACUGAAAACACAGACGAGAUUGGGUCAAAAUACAGAAUUCCAAAGGCUUUGACCAAUCGUUUUGAUGUUUGGAAAAAGAAAGUCAACAUGAAUGUCAAAUCCAAGAUUGUUAAAGAGGAAUUGAACCGAUCUUGAGAGUUGAAAAUUGGGCUUUUUGAAUCAGCGCCAGCGUAGGAGAAGCUCAAACCCAUCACAGGACGAGAGAAAAAUCAAGGACCUCCUCGUGCUUCCAAAGGGCCAUGUGCCAUUAAAAGCUGACAUUCAGAGAAAAGGGUAGAGAAAUAGCAUAGGGAAAGCUUGGGGGAGACGUUCAUGGAGUUAAUGAACAAAAACUUCAAUCUUUUUUAUGUUUGCUUGGCUUUGCAUUCAUAGUGUGAGUUGUUUGUUAGUGUUGCCGUCCGUUUGGCCUGGCCUGAAUGAUGAAAAUCUCAGAACUUUUUUAUGGCAUUGAAUUAAAGAGGGUUGUUUUUCUGUUGGUAAGGGCUUUUGAAUGCUUAUAAAACUUGAAAUUGUGUGUCAUAAGACAUCAUAAGAGAAGUCCCCAACAUUAUGCCGUGGUCGGUCCAAUCACCGAUGGAAACGUAUUGAGGCUCCAACUCAGGCACUUUUAGAUGCAUGUCAACUAAGAACAGGCUAGACUUGAAUGCAGAGACACCUCCACCACCACAUAAUUUGCUACCCACAAGUAUAAACCAUCAUAAGUGGCUGAGUAACGCCUAACAAUCCCUCUCCUACGAAAGCCAAACACCACUCCUUCCAACUUUCUAAAAGGUGACACCACCUU